rnacentral:rRNA from 1 species
UACGAAGGGGGCUAGCGUUGCUCGGAAUCACUGGGCGUAAAGGGUGCGUAGGCGGAUUGUUAAGUCAGGGGUGAAAUCCUGGAGCUCAACUCCAGAACUGCCUUUGAUACUGGCGAUCUUGAGUCCGGGAGAGGUGAGUGGAACUCCGAGUGUAGAGGUGAAAUUCGUAGAUAUUCGGAAGAACACCAGUGGCGAAGGCGGCUCACUGGCCCGGUACUGACGCUGAUGUGCGAAAGCGUGGGGAGCAAACAGG